AUUGAACGCUGGCGGCAGGCCUAACACAUGCAAGUCGAACGGUAGCACAGAGGAGCUUGCUCCUUGGGUGACGAGUGGCGGACGGGUGAGUAAUGUCUGGGAAACUGCCCGAUGGAGGGGGAUAACUACUGGAAACGGUAGCUAAUACCGCAUAACGUCUUCGGACCAAAGUGGGGGACCUUCGGGCCUCACACCAUCGGAUGUGCCCAGAUGGGAUUAGCUAGUAGGUGGGGUAAUGGCUCACCUAGGCGACGAUCCCUAGCUGGUCUGAGAGGAUGACCAGCCACACUGGAACUGAGACACGGUCCAGACUCCUACGGGAGGCAGCAGUGGGGAAUAUUGCACAAUGGGCGCAAGCCUGAUGCAGCCAUGCCGCGUGUAUGGAGAAGGCCUUAUGGUUGUAAAGCACUUUAAGCGAGGAGGAGGCUCUUUUGGUUAAUACCCAAGAUGAGUGGACGUUACUCGCAGAAUAAGCACCGGCUAACUCUGUGCCAGCCGCCGCGGUAA
rnacentral:rRNA from 1 species